CCCGCCGGACCUGACUGCUAUCGGAUUGAUACUAAGCCAUGCGAGUCAUUGUAGUAAUACAAGGCAGACGGCUCAGUAACGCGUAGUCAACCUACCCUAUGGACGGGGAUAACCUCGGGAAACUGAGAAUAAUACCCGAUAGAACAUUAUGCCUGGAAUGGUUUAUGUUUCAAAUAAUUUAUUGCCGUAGGAUGGGACUGCGGCCUAUCAGUUUGUUGGUGAGGUAAUGGCCCACCAAGACUAUUACAGGUACGGGCUCUGAGAGGAGUAGCCCGGAGAUGGGUACUGAGACACGGACCCAGGCCCUAUGGGGCGCAGCAGGCGAGAAAACUUUGCAAUGUGCGAAAGCACGACAAGGUUAAUCCGAGUGGUUUCUGCUAAAGGAACCUUUUGUCAGUCCUAGAAACACUGAUGAAUAAGGGGUGGGCAAGUUCUGGUGUCAGCCGCCGCGGUAAAACCAGCACCUCAAGUGGUCAGGAUGAUUAUUGGGCCUAAAGCAUCCGUAGCCUGCUUUGUAAGUUUUCGGUUAAAUCCAUACGCUCAACGUAUGGGCUGCCGGGAAUACUGCAAAGCUAGGGAGUGGGAGAGGUAGACGGUACUCGGUAGGAAAGGGUAAAAUCCUUUGAUCUAUUGAUGACCACCUGUGGCGGAGGCGGUCUACCAGAACACGUCCGACGGUGAGGGAUGAAAGCUGGGGGAGCAAACCGGAUUAGAUACCCGGGUAGUCCCAGCUGUAAACUAUGCAAACUCAGUGAUGCAUUGGCUUGAUGCCAAUGCAGUGCUGCAGGGAAGCCGUUAAGUUUGCCGCCUGGGAAGUACGUACGCAAGUAUGAAACUUAAAGGAAUUGGCGGGGGAGCACCACAA
rnacentral:rRNA from 1 species